rnacentral:rRNA from 1 species
UACAGAGGUGGCAAGCGUUGUUCGGAAUUACUGGGCGUAAAGGGCGCGUAGGCGGUCUUGUAAGUCUUGUGUGAAAUCCCUCGGCUUAACUGAGGAACUGCACGGGAUACUGCAUGACUUGAGAUCGGGAGAGGGAAGCGGAAUUCCUGGUGUAGCGGUGAAAUGCGCAGAUAUCAGGAGGAACACCAAUGGCGAAGGCAGCUCGCUGGAACGGUACUGACGCUGAGGCGCGAAAGCGUGGGGAGCGAACAGG